rnacentral:rRNA from 1 species
UACAGAGGUCUCAAGCGUUGUUCGGAUUCAUUGGGCGUAAAGGGUGCGUAGGUGGCGGGGUAAGUCAGGUGUGAAAUCUCGGGGCUCAACCCCGAAACUGCACUUGAUACUGCCUUGCUCGAGUACUGGAGAGGAGAUUGGAAUUUACGGUGUAGCAGUGAAAUGCGUAGAUAUCGUAAGGAAGACCAAUGGCGAAGGCGAAUCUCUGGACAGUUACUGACACUGAGGCACGAAGGCCAGGGGAGCAAACGGG